UCCGGUUUGGCACCGGCAGUCUCCAAUGAGUCCCCGGCAUUACCCGCUGGCAACAUUGGACAGGGGUUGCGCUCGUUGCGCCACUUAAGGCAACACCUCACGGCACGAGCUGACGACAGCCAUGCAGCACCUGUGCAGGCUCCCGAAGGAGCGCCGGCUUUCACCGGUUUCACCCUGCAUGUCAAGCCCUGGUAAGGUUCUUCGCGUUGCAUCGAAUUAAAGAACAUGCUCCGCUGCUUGUGCGGGCCCCCGUCGAUUCUUUUGAGUUUUAGCCUUGCGGCCGUAGUCCCCAGGCGGAGCACUUAAUGCGUUAGCGCCGGCACCGAGGGGGUCGAUACCCCCGACACCUAGUGCUCAUCGUUUACAGCGUGGACUAC
rnacentral:misc_RNA from 1 species